rnacentral:tRNA from 1 species
AAGGAGUUAGUUAAUUAAUAACAUUGAUAUGUCAAAUCAAAGUAGUUGUCUAAACACCCCUUU